AAGAUGGGCAGCUCCUUCCUUGCCAUUGGCUGUCAGAAACUCAUUGAAGUGGAUGAAUGACAACUUUGUACCUCUGCUUUGGACCAUACGCUUAUGAGAAGCAUAUGGCCACAGAAGUUGUUGUUGACACUCUGGGUGAAAUGUGAAAAGGUCCCAGUGUCUGAGUCUAUGAUAACAACCAAUAUAUCUUCCCCAUAAAGCAGGGUAUCUUGACCUUGCCCACCUGCUACUGAAUGAGGGGCACUCCUAUUACAGCAGACCCAGGAGAACUGGGGGGAAAAAAAGAGGAAGUCUGCUCAGGCUUACAUUGGCGUGCAUAGAUCCAAAUCUGAGUGUUCUCAACUUGAAUACUGGGAAAAAAAUGAAGAAUUUUUUUUGGACUGACUGAUAUUACUGUGCCUUGUCACUUGAGGACUAAAAGAGCUAACAGAAUCUGCAAACUUUCAGUCACCCCAAAGAAGAUUAUUUCCACCAGUACAUUUUCAGAAAGCCCCUGAACAUAGAAGAUAAUAAACCAAGGACCAAAGCUCCCAAGAUUCACCAUUUUAUUACUCCACUUUUCCUAGAACACAAUGUCAAUGUAUUGCUCUGAAGAGACAAUGUACUAAGAAAAGCACAAAGAGAUCAGAGUACACUAAGCUUCUGACCAAAAGAAUAAAACAGGGUCAAAGAAAAAUAUCAGAAACAGAUUGCCAAGAGAUGGGGGCUGUCCUCUCUGAGAGUUUCUACUCCAAGU
rnacentral:lncRNA from 1 species